GUAGCAUUGAAGAUGUUGGUGCUGAACUCCAUGGCUUAGGAGUUCACUAUCUGUGGCAUACCUUCUCCCACUAAGAAUCUGUCUAAUCACUAAAAUGAGCAGGAGAAGCCCUCUUGAAGAUGACCCUAGUGCCAUUUUGAGUGUUUAGGAAAAAGAGGACAUUCCCAUUGUGAAUGGAAGACUUUCUGAAAAAUACUAGUUUCAUCCAUGAUAGUCCCAAGACAGAUUUCUGCAGUGAACAAUUUGGGAAGCUGCAGUCAGAAGGAGAGGGCAUCAUGAGAAAAAGUGCUGCCAUGACUGGUGAUGCUGAAUAGCACAACACUUACAUAUGGUCUUAAUGGAUAUAAUAAUAUUGGAAGAAAGGUUGUUGAGGAACAAACAUGACAGGAAUGGGCCCCUCUGGCAAGGGAAGCUCCAGUGGCUCCUUUAGAUCACAAUACCCAUACACAGUUGAUUUGUGUAUGUUCUCUUUCCAUAAAUAUACAUAUUGUUUUUAAUAGUAAAUAUAAAACAAAACAAACAUCAUCAACAACAAAAUCCACACAACACCAACAGGAAAAAAUGAUUUGUGGUUAUAUGGCAGGAAGAAAAAAAAAUAGAUAAAUUACUAGAUAUAUUAUGAUGAUAAAAAUAAACUAAAUGUGACCAAAAAGAAAAGAAAAUGAACCAAAAAGAAAAGAUCCAGAUAAUAACUAUUGAUAGCAAUAUAAAACCAAUUAAAUUGUAAAGCUUAUUAUUAAUGGUAGACCGUGUAGAAACAUAUUCCUUCAUCUUUUCAUUAUUAGAACACAAAGACUUUUUAAAGAUAGAUAACAGACAUAUCCUGGAUCCAUUCCUUAAAAUCAGGAAUCCUUUCUAUUUACAGUAUGUAAAAUUAUCCUCUUUGCUUUGUCCUUGGCUCAAUGGAGUCAAAGGUCUUUAUGAGAUGAUAAAUUCCAUAUUUUAAGAAUAUAGUUCAUCAUCCCAUUAUGGUCUUUAACCAUAAUAUUUCUUCCCCAAAAUCUACUGAUAUAGGAAGGAUUUGAAAGCAAAAAAAAAAAAAAAAAA